GCCUGAGUGGCUCAGUCAGUUAAGCGUGUGACUUCGGCUCAGGUCAUGAUCUCACAGCUCGUGGGUUCGAGCCCCACAUCAGGCU
rnacentral:tRNA from 1 species